GAGGAGUAGGAGUGCUUCUGGAAAAGGGGCUAUCCUGGGCUGAAGAAGGCAGGUUAUUCUCAGAAUGCAACCCCUUGUUUUGAACUGGGCUGUAUUUGUUCCCGGAUCCUCUUCAUUUCUGCUGCAUAGAUAGGCAGCUUCCUGGAAAGAGAAUUUAAGGAACAAGAACAGAAAAAAAAAAAAAGCCUGAUAGAAGUCAUAACUGGCUCUGCCUGUCCAUGCUAUGACAGCCAACAAAAUCACCUGCUGCUGAUUUACAGAUUCCUGGGAGAUGUGUUGUUGAGUCUCAAAGAACUGGAACAAGGACAACUCGCUCAAUUUGCUUCUCAUGAAACAGGAAAAUAUAUCCACCCGCUUCAUGCUYUCCUAAUUUAGGACACGUGUAGUGUGCAGUGAUGAACUGGCCAACUGAUUAUGUUGCUGUAAAUCUCGUUCCCCACCUCACAAAACACCCCUGAUUGACCCCUGCUUUCAUGACAGCUCAGUGCAGCAUUCCCAGUCCACUUCUUGAGAGGGAGAAAAACCACAUUAGCCACUUGCAAAAGCACUUCUGCAGAGAGAAAAACACAACAUUUCCUUGGUUUUAUUGCAUUGGGCAGCCUUUUCAAGUUCUGCUUGCUUCCAUUUAGAUUGUGACCAGUAUUUAUUUUUCCCUUUUAAAACACAAUAACUUAAUUAAGAAACUAAUCAGCAGUGUUGAACUGAUCUUUCAACUCACCCCUAUCACUGAUGGAAAUUUAUGGAUGUACAAUACAAGAAAGAUCCUAUUAUCUAAAAAGCUUUCUGCUAAAAGCAUUUGGCAUCUAAAAAGUAAGACUUGAAAUUCGGCACUAAAUUUAUAAUGUAAAUAUGUGAACAUUAUUUAUAGAGUCMAAAAUGUAUCCCAACUGAAUCUAACAAGUUUGUCUGGAAUAUUUAUUAAAAUAAAAUUGGUACAAGUUCAAAGGAUUUCAGAAGCGAAUUGGAUAUUUUGGAGUCCAAAGGACACAUUGUAAAGGUACUGUGUAACAGAGAGAAGUUUAAUGGUCCAGGCUGCCUCUUCCAUCAGUGGAGAGAGGUUGGCAUGUUCCAUUUUCUUAGGCACUUAUCUUUGGAUGGAAAYUUAUUGGCUGAUCAUCUCAGCAGGGCAUUAGCAGGAUGUCUGUAGUUAGUCAUUAUCAUCAUCUGUUAUUUCCAGUUYCCUUGGCUUCAGACCAAGAGGAUAAUUCUGAAUACCUGG